UGGACGAAAGUCUGACGGAGCAACGCCGCGUGAGUGAUGAAGGUUUUCGGAUCGUAAAGCUCUGUUGUUAGGGAAGAACAAGUGCCGUUCAAAUAGGGCGGCACCUUGACGGUACCUAACCAGAAAGCCACGGCUAACUACGUGCCAGCAGCCGCGGUAAUACGUAGGUGGCAAGCGUUGUCCGGAAUUAUUGGGCGUAAAGGGCUCGCAGGCGGUUUCUUAAGUCUGAUGUGAAAGCCCCCGGCUCAACCGGGGAGGGUCAUUGGAAACUGGGGAACUUGAGUGCAGAAGAGGAGAGUGGAAUUCCACGUGUAGCGGUGAAAUGCGUAGAGAUGUGGAGGAACACCAGUGGCGAAGGCGACUCUCUGGUCUGUAACUGACGCUGAGGAGCGAAAGCGUGGGGAGCGAACAGGAUUAGAUACCCUGGUAGUCCACGCCGUAAACGAUGAGUGCUAAGUGUUAGGGGGUUUCCGCCCCUUAGUGCUGCAGCUAACGCAUUAAGCACUCCGCCUGGGGAGUACGGUCGCAAGACUGAAACUCAAAGGAAUUGACGGGGGCCCGCACAAGCGGUGGGAGCAUGUGGGUUUAAUUCGAAGCACGCGAAGAACCUUUACCAGGUCUUGACAUCCUCUGACAUCCUAGAGAUAGGACGUCC
rnacentral:rRNA from 2 species